GGCCGCGGUAUUCUAACCGUGCAAAGGUAGCGUAAUCACUUGUCUUUUAAAUAAAGACUCGUAUGAACGGCUAAAUGAGGACAAACCUGUCUCUUAUAGCUAAUCAGUGAAACUGAUCUUCCAGUUCAAAAGCUGGAAUAACCACAUAAGACGAGAAGACCCUGUGGAGCUUCAAACUAACCAUUAACAAGCAAGUACAACUGCACCUAAUGUACAGUUUUGAGUUGGGGCGACUUCGGAACAAAACAAAACUUCCAAGCACAGGACAACACAUCCUAACCGCGGCCAACAAGCCAAAGUCAAUAAUAUAGAUCCAGUAAUACUGAUCAACGGACCAAGUUACCCCAGGGAUAACAGCGCCAUCUUCUUCGAGAGUCCAUAUCGACAAGAAGGUUUACGACCUCGAUGUUGGAUCAGGACACCCAAAUGGUGCAGCCGCUAUUAAAGGUUCGUUUGUUCAACGAUUAACAGUCCUACGUGAUCUGAGUUCAGACCGGA
rnacentral:rRNA from 1 species